AAACUUAAGACCAUGGCUUAAAAGUGUUGAAACUGGAUAGUUAAAAUGAUUUUGUUGUUUUAAUAUUUGGUUCAUCUUAAGUGAAAAUGAGCUAAUAAAGUGAUUCAAAUGCCAUGGUAUUCUAUAAAAUUAAGGUUAUGAAAUGAGAAGUGCUUAAUGUUCGUAAAUGAGUAAAAGAUUGUAAAUUGACAUGACGAAGUGAAGAAUAGUAAAG
rnacentral:lncRNA from 1 species